rnacentral:rRNA from 1 species
UAAUACCUUUGCUCAUUGACGUUACCCGCAGAAGAAGCACCGGCUAACUCCGUGCCAGCAGCCGCGGUAAUACGGAGGGUGCAAGCGUUAAUCGGAAUUACUGGGCGUAAAGCGCACGCAGGCGGUUUGUUAAGUCAGAUGUGAAAUCCCCGGGCUCAACCUGGGAACUGCAUCUGAUACUGGCAAGCUUGAGUCUCGUAGAGGGGGGUAGAAUUCCAGGUGUAGCGGUGAAAUGCGUAGAGAUCUGGAGGAAUACCGGUGGCGAAGGCGGCCCCCUGGACGAAGACUGACGCUCAGGUGCGAAAGCGUGGGGAGCAAACAGGAUUAGAUACCCUGGUAGUCCACGCCGUAAACGAUGUCGACUUGGAGGUUGUGCCCUUGAGGCGUGGCUUCCGGAGCUAACGCGUUAAGUCGACCGCCUGGGGAGUACGGCCGCAAGGUUAAAACUCAAAUGAAUUGACGGGGGCCCGCACAAGCGGUGGAGCAUGUGGUUUAAUUCGAUGCAACGCGAAGAACCUUACCUGGUCUUGACAUCCACGGAAGUUUUCAGAGAUGAGAAUGUGCCUUCGGGAACCGUGAGACAGGUGCUGCAUGGCUGUCGUCAGCUCGUGUUGUGAAAUGUUGGGUUAAGUCCCGCAACGAGCGCAACCCUUAUCCUUUGUUGCCAGCGGUCCGGCCGGGAACUCAAAGGAGACUGCCAGUGAUAAACUGGAGGAAGGUGGGGACGACGUCAAGUCAUCAUGGCCCUUACGACCAGGGCUACACACGUGCUACAAUGGCGCAUACAAAGAGAAGCGACCUCGCGAGAGCAAGCGGACCUCAUAAAGUGCGUCGUAGUCCGGAUUGGAGUCUGCAACUCGACUCCAUGAAGUCGGAAUCGCUAGUAAUCGUGGAUCAGAAUGCCACGGUGAAUACGUUCCCGGGCCUUGUACACACCGCCCGUCACACCAUGGGAGUGGGUUGCAAAAGAAGUAGGUAGCUUAACCUUCGGGAGGGCGCUUACCACUUUGUGAUUCAUGACUGGGGUGAAGUCGUAACAAGGUAACCGUAGGGGAACCUGCGGUUGGAUCACCUCCUUACCUUAAAGAAGC